rnacentral:sRNA from 1 species
AUGCGUUAGGGAUUGUAGUGAAAAUCCUUUGCUUUUUUAGCAAAGAUUGUAACGAAAAGCCCGCCCGAAG